rnacentral:rRNA from 1 species
GAGCGAACGCUGGCGGCAUGCCUAACACAUGCAAGUCGCGCGGCCAGCAAUGGCAGCGGCGGACGGGUGCGUAACGCGUAGGAACAUGUCCAGAGGUGGGGGACAACCCCGGGAAACUGGGGCUAAUACCGCAUAUGGGCUGAGGCCCAAAGCCGUAAGGCGCCUUUGGAGUGGCCUGCGUCCGAUUAGCUUGUUGGUGGGGUAAUGGCCUACCAAGGCGACGAUCGGUAGCUGGUCUGAGAGGACGAUCAGCCACACUGGGACUGAGACACGGCCCAGACUCCUACGGGAGGCAGCAGUGGGGAAUAUUGGACAAUGGGCGCAAGCCUGAUCCAGCAAUGCCGCGUGGGUGAAGAAGGUCUUCGGAUUGUAAAGCCCUUUCGACAGGGACGAU